rnacentral:rRNA from 1 species
GGGAUUAGUGGCGAACGGGUGAGUAACACGUGGGCAAUCUGCCCUUCACUCUGGGACAAGCCCUGGAAACGGGGUCUAAUACCGGAUACGACACGGGGUCGCAUGACCUCCGUGUGGAAAGCUCCGGCGGUGAAGGAUGAGCCCGCGGCCUAUCAGCUUGUUGGUGGGGUGAUGGCCUACCAAGGCGACGACGGGUAGCCGGCCUGAGAGGGCGACCGGCCACACUGGGACUGAGACACGGCCCAGACUCCUACGGGAGGCAGCAGUGGGGAAUAUUGCACAAUGGGCGAAAGCCUGAUGCAGCGACGCCGCGUGAGGGAUGACGGCCUUCGGGUUGUAAACCUCUUUCAGCAGGGAAGAAGCGAGAGUGACGGUACCUGCAGAAGAAGCGCCGGCUAACUACGUGCCAGCAGCCGCGGUAAUACGUAGGGCGCAAGCGUUGUCCGGAAUUAUUGGGCGUAAAGAGCUCGUAGGCGGCUUGUCGCGUCGGAUGUGAAAGCCCGGGGCUUAACCCCGGGUCUGCAUUCGAUACGGGCAGGCUAGAGUUCGGUAGGGGAGAUCGGAAUUCCUGGUGUAGCGGUGAAAUGCGCAGAUAUCAGGAGGAACACCGGUGGCGAAGGCGGAUCUCUGGGCCGAUACUGACGCUGAGGA